rnacentral:tRNA from 2 species
GCACAAGUAGCGAAGGGGUUAAACGCGCGAGAUUUAAGAAUUUGAAUAUCGUGGCACGCCCUUCGGGAGUGCUGCUUCCCUCGUCCUUCGGGUUCGUGAGUUCGAAUCUCACCUUGUGCA